AACGAACGCUGGCGGCAUGCCUAACACAUGCAAGUCGAACGAGACCUUCGGGUCUAGUGGCGCACGGGUGCGUAACACGUGGGAAUUUGCCUCGGGGUAUGGAAUAACUCAGGGAAACUUGAGCUAAUACCAUAUAAUGUCUUCGGACCAAAGAUUUAUCGCCCUGAGAUAAGCCCGCGUAGGAUUAGCUAGUUGGUGGGGUAAAGGCUCACCAAGGCGACGAUCCUUAGCUGGUCUGAGAGGAUGAUCAGCCACACUGGGACUGAGACACGGCCCAGACUCCUACGGGAGGCAGCAGUGGGGAAUAUUGGACAAUGGGCGAAAGCCUGAUCCAGCAAUGCCGCGUGAGUGAUGAAGGCCUUCGGUUGGUAAAGUACGUACUUUUACUUCGGUACGGAGUAAUAGACGGUACCGA
rnacentral:rRNA from 1 species